rnacentral:misc_RNA from 1 species
GAACUUUCAUUAUCAGUGUUAUAUACAUCUGAAUCCUUGCAUUUGAGGUACAAUUCCACAAGAGCAGUUUCAACACUUUUGCACCACUCUGAGUUAAUAGUGAUAAUAUCACAAAGUGUCCACUCAGAUGUAAAUGGUAACUUCUUCCCGAAGGAACCCUCGAGCUUUAUUGAACUGCAUGAAAAGGUCAAAAUGGAACUUGUAGAAUAUGUAACUUCAUACAUGAUGUGAUCAGGUUUAACAACCACCGGAACUUUCGUAUCACAUAGAUUAGGACUCUGCAUCAAUUCUUG